rnacentral:rRNA from 1 species
AACGAACGCUGGCGGCAGGCUUAACACAUGCAAGUCGAACGCAUCCUUCGGGGUGAGUGGCAGACGGGUGAGUAACGCGUGGGAACGUGCCCUUCAGUUCGGGAUAACCCAGGGAAACUUGGGCUAAUACCGGAUACGUGCGAGAGCAGAAAGAUUUAUCGCUGAAGGAUCGGCGCCGCGUCUGAUUAGCUAGUUGGUGGGGUAAUGGCCCACCAAGGCGACGAUCAGUAGCUGGUCUGAGAGGAGGAUCAGCCACAUUGGGACUGAGACACGGCCCAAACUCCUACGGGAGGCAGCAGUGGGGAAUAUUGGACAAUGGGCGCAAGCCUGAUCCAGCCAUGCCGCGUGAGUGAUGAAGGCCUUAGGGUUGUAAAGCUCUUUCGUCCGGGACGAUAAUGACGGUACCGGAAGAAGAAGCCCCGGCUAACUUCGUGCCAGCCGCCGCCGUAACAC